rnacentral:ncRNA from 2 species
UUCUUAUCGAGAGAGGCAGAGGGACUGACCCUGUGAAGCCUCGGCAACCGGCAGAUGCAUGCACGGUGCCAAUUUCAGUGGAAGGCGAAAGUCAUUCCGAAGAUGAGAG